AUUGAACGCUGGCGGCAGGCCUAACACAUGCAAGUCGAACGAGUGGCGGACGGGUGAGUAAUGUCUGGGAAACUGCCUGAUGGAGGGGGAUAACUACUGGAAACGGUAGCUAAUACCGCAUACACUCGGAUGUGCCCAGAUGGGAUUAGCUAGUAGGUGGGGUAAAGGCUCACCUAGGCGACGAUCCCUAGCUUGUCUGAGAGGAUGACCAGCCACACUGGACCUGAGACACGGUCCAGACGCCUACGGGGGGCAGCAGGGGGGAAUAUUGCACAAUGGGCUCAAGCCUUAUGCAGCCAUUCCGCGUGUAUGAUGAAGGCCUUCGGGUUGUAAAGUACUUUCAGCGGUGAGGCGUUACCCGAAGAAGAAGCACCGGCUAACUCCGUGCCAGCCGCCGCGGUAAUUC
rnacentral:rRNA from 1 species